rnacentral:rRNA from 1 species
GGGUGCGAUCAUACCAGCACUAAUGCACCGGAUCCCAUCAGAACGCCGAAGUUAAGUGUAACGCUGGGGAUUUUCGUUAUUGUAAUAU